rnacentral:rRNA from 1 species
AUAUCAAUAAGCGGAGGAAAAGAAACCAACAGGGAUUGCCCUAGUAACGGCGAGUGAAGCGGCAACAGCUCAAAUUUGAAAUCUGGCUCCUUCGGGGGUCCGAGUUGUAAUUUGCAGAGGGUGCUUUGGCAUUGGCGGCGGUCUAAGUUCCUUGGAACAGGACAUCGCAGAGGGUGAGAAUCCCGUACGUGGGCGCCUGCCUUUGCCGUGUAAAGCCCCUUCGACGAGUCGAGUUGUUUGGGAAUGCAGCUCUAAAUGGGAGGUAAAUUUCUUCUAAAGCUAAAUACUGGCCAGAGACCGAUAGCGCACAAGUAGAGUGAUCGAAAGAUGAAAAGUACUUUGGAAAGAGAGUCAAAUAGCACGUGAAAUUGUUGAAAGGGAAGCGCUUGCAGCCAGACUUGCCCGCAGUUGCUCACCCAGGCUCUCGCCUGGGGCACUCUUCUGCGGGCAGGCCAGCAUCAGUUUGGGCGGUUGGAUAAAGGUCUUUGGGAAUGUAGCUCCUCUCGGGGAGUGUUAUAGCCCUGGACGGAAUGCAAUCAGUCCAGACUGAGGACCGCGCUUCGGCUAGGAUGCUGGCGUAAUGGUUGUAAGCGA